UCACUGCUAUGAAAGGUCCUCGUUCCACCCCCUCUUCUCCCUCCCCCUCCCCAGUGCAGGAUCCCCUUGCUGUGUCAUUUCUGAGCCGGUCCUUGGGAAGGGAAGGGUUAGGUUGAAGGAAUCGACCAUCCAAGCGGAGCCCAAGCAAGCAUUACUGAUGGGCAAGCCAUGAACAGGGUUGGCAUUAGCAAAAAAACGAGCGGUUAAACACAGGAAGUGGGCUGUGGACCACAGUGACGUCACGCAGCUGGUGGUGCUAUUUUUAUUCCCCUGGGUCCUUUCAUAAUUGUGUUCAUCGUAUUGCUCAUCCAUAGCUGAAGUGACAUUGUGAAAAUGGACUAUCCCCAUUGUUACGUUGGCGCAGAGAUGGGAUGACAGCGCGGGAAGAACUUCUCCGUAGCCAAGGGGAAAAUACAAAAGUCACUGUGUAUUUAAGUCUGCCUUUCCCCCUAUAAGUAGAUAGAGCCGAAGCUUAGUUGGGCCCUAAACAUAUUAGUAUUUCAUUUAAGCUCGAUAAAUCUUACACAGAUGAGCUUGUGACAAAAUAAAAAUGUUAAUUUUUCAAUUACUAUAAAAUUCUUCCUUAUCAUUUGAAAGCUACUUUGGUAUCGUGGGGAAGGUGCUGGCCUAAAAACUAGGAGACGGUGAGUUCUAGUCCCGCCUUAGGCCUGAAAGCCAGUUGGGUAACUUUGGGCCAAUCACCAAGAGAUUCUGAGUUCUAGUCCCGCCAAAUAUUUUUUGAAAAGGGGGGGAAAUCUAAUAAUAAAUUAGUAUAAUUUAAAAUAAAGCACUAAUAAACUUAAUGGAUCCACACUCUCCAAAUAUAUUAAGCAUCUUAGGAAUUAAACCUUGAACUAGCAGAAUAUGUUAUAUUCUAGAAAGCUCUGAGGGAAAUCUACCAGCAAACAGUGACUAACACAGGAAGAGACCUUUCCUAUUCAUUUUACAAAGUCGAGAGUAAACAAGGUAGCUGAAAGACAAGAGAUCUGGCAUUCAGAUCACUAUAACAGAAAGAAAAACAACUGGGCCGCUAGAUCAUCUUGAAAAAGGAAGUUGAAGAGCAGAGCAACCGGAGGCCGGCUCCUCGGUGGGUUUUACAGACGGAAUAAAAGCCAGCCUUGCCUGACAGCAGAGCUCUUGAGUUUGGGAUGAGAAAUCAGGGCUGGUCAAUAGAAUUUGCAGACUCGUU